UACGGAGGGUGCGAGCGUUGUCCGGAAUCACUGGGCGUAAAGGGCGCGUAGGCGGCCUGAUAAGUAGGGGGUGAAAUCCUGCGGCUUAACCGCAGGGCUGCCUUCUAAACUGUCAGGCUUGAGCACAGUAGAGGCAGGUGGAAUUCCCGGUGUAGCGGUGGAAUGCGUAGAGAUCGGGAAGAACAUCAGUGGCGAAAGCGGCCUGCUGGGCUGUUGCUGACGCUGAGGCGCGACAGCGUGGGGAGCAAACAGG
rnacentral:rRNA from 1 species